AAGAAACCGGAACACAGGUGCUGCAUGGCUGUCGUCAGCUCGUGUCGUGAGAUGUUGGUUAAGUCCCGCAACGAGCGCAACCCUUACCCUUAGUUGCCAGCGGGUAAUGCCGGGCACUCUAAGGGGACCGCCCCGGAUAACGGGGAGGAAGGCGGGGAUGACGUCAAGUCAGCAUGGCCCUUAUGUCCAGGGCUACACACGUGCUACAAUGGGCGAUACAGAGGGAAGCAAGGCCGCAAGGUAGAGCUAAUCCCUAAAGUCGUCCUCAGUUCGGAUUGCAGGCUGCAACUCGCCUGCAUGAAGUCGGAAUCGCUAGUAAUCGCGGAUCAGCUACGCCGCGGUGAAUACGUUCUCGGGCCUU
rnacentral:rRNA from 1 species